rnacentral:misc_RNA from 1 species
GUGAAUCAUCGAAUUUUUGAACGCAAAUUGCACUCUCUGGUAUUCCGGAGAGUAUGCCUGUUUGAGGGUCGGUUUAAAUAAAAAUCGGUGUGGUUGCUGCCUUUUGUGUGACGCACCGGGUUUUGGUCGGCUUUCCUUUGGUUAAGUUACCUAAAAUUUUUCAUUGUUUUUUUCCAAAGUAACUAAAUUGUUUUACGUACGUUUGCGAUUU